UCUCUCUCUCUCUCUCUCUCUCAUAUUAGAAUUUAGAAAUUAUAUGUUGCAUUUGGAAUUAGCCAUCAUAUGAUUGCAAGAAGAAACCUAAAAAAUCAGGUGAAACCAUCAAAAUCAGAUGAAAGCUGCAAAAAUCAGCUCAAAAUGCAAGGAGGACAAUUUUGAGAUGAUUCUGUAGCUGGUUUGGUUGCUGGUUGAUGAUUGUACUUGCUUGGGUUCUUGAGUGUUGCUGGUUUUGAAGUAUUUUGCUUCAUUUUGCUGGGUGUAGUUUUUUUGUAUGUAAA